UGAGUAAUGCAUCGGAAACAUGUCCAUGUCGUGGGGGAUAGCCCGGCGAAAGCCGGAUUAAUACCGCAUAAGCCCGAGAGGGGAAAGUGGGGGACCGCAAGGCCUCACGCGAUUGGGUUGGCCGAUGUCCGAUUAGCUAGUUGGCGGGGUAAUGGCCCACCAAGGCGAUGAUCGGUAGCUGGUCUGAGAGGAUGAUCAGCCACACUGGGACUGAGACACGGCCCAGACUCCUACGGGAGGCAGCAGUGGGGAAUUUUGGACAAUGGGGGCAACCCUGAUCCAGCCAUUCCGCGUGAGUGAAGAAGGCCUUCGGGUUGUAAAACUCUGUUGUUAGGGAAGAACAAGUAUCGGAGUAACUGCCGGUACCUUGACGGUACCUAACCAGAAAGCCAC
rnacentral:rRNA from 1 species